UUUCUAAAAGGCGCUGUCCCGGGCAACUGUUGUUUCUGAGCCCAAUGACAUCAUCCGAUCUUUUGUAUACAGUUGUCAGGGGUUACUUGACGAUAUUUCAAGCGAUAAAACAGUCCUGCCCUAUGUAAGAUACGUGGUCCCAUUUCAGAAUUAACGUUAAAAAGGACUAAAUACACUUGAUCUUUACUUUGAACGAAGUCUCCUUUGUCCUCUUUUAGGACAUCACGGAGAAGCUGGUUUUUGAUAGGCCAGAUGAUCCACUUCAGUUCAUGUUAGAACAGUUUCAGGCAGUGGCAUAUGAAGUAUCCCAUGUCUUAUGGUUGGAGUUGGCAUCAGUUGAUCUCCUGAAGUCCAUCAUAAUAGACUGAAGUGAUGACUGGCUGGCACCGGCUGCAUUUAGUCAUCAUCACUCACAUCAC